GCUCCAGACUCCUACGGGAGGCAGCAGUGGGGAAUAUUGCACAAUGGGGGAAACCCUGAUGCAGCGACGCCGCGUGAGUGAAGAAGUAAUUCGUUAUGUAAAGCUCUAUCAGCAGGGAAGAAAAUGACGGUACCUGACUAAGAAGCCCCGGCUAACUACGUGCCAGCAGCCGCGGUAAUACGUAGGGGGCAAGCGUUAUCCGGAUUCACUGGGUGUAAAGGGAGCGUAGACGGCGACGCAAGUCUGGAGUGAAAGCCCGGGGCCCAACCCCGGGACUGCUCUGGAAACUGCGGCGCUGGAGUACGGGAGGGGCAGGCGGAAUUCCUGGUGUAGCGGUGAAAUGCGUAGAUAUCAGGAGGAACACCGGCGGCGAAGGCGGCCUGCUGGACCGUGACUGACGUUGAGGCUCGAGAGCGUGGGGAGCAAACAGGAUUAGAUACCCUGGUA
rnacentral:rRNA from 1 species